GGAAGGAUCAUUACUAAAAUGAUUAAAAUUAAAAAUCAUUUUCCUUUGAUUAUAAUUUUCCAUGUUGCUUCCACUGGACAGGCAAAAUUUGUUUUACAUUUUAACAAAUGGAGCCCUUUAGCUCGAGGAAAUCUCCUCUUGCUGAAGAGUUUGCCAGUGGGUUAUUUAUAUAAAAAACUUUUUUUUUUAAAAAAAAAUUCAAAAUUUGUUGGAUAUUGGAAAAUAUUAAAAACUUUCAACAACGGAUCUCUAGGCUCUUGUAUCGAUGAAGAACGCAGUGAAAUGCGAUAAGUAAUGUGAAUUGCAGAAUCUCGUGAAUCAUCAAAUUUUUGAACGCACAUUGCACCUUAUAGUAUUCUAUAGGGUAUAUCUGUCUGAGUGUUAGCAAAAUCAAUUUUAUUUUCAGAUUUGACAAUAAGAUAUUUUAAAGAGAUAAUAUUUAUAUUAUCCUUUAGAAAUUCAUUCACGGUAAUCAGUUUAGAAUUUUUAAAAUGUAAUAUAAUAAUAUAAAUCAUUUAAAAAUUUCAAAAUAAUACUUGUGAUAAAUAUAGUGAGAAAAGUAUUUGAAAUUCAACCUCAGAUCAGAUAGGAAUACCCGCUGAACUUAAGCAUAUCAAUAAGCGGAGGAAAAGAAACCAACAGGGAUUGCCUUAGUAACGGCGAGUGAAGUGGCAAAAGCUCAGAUUUGAAAUCUGGUGUCAAUUUGGCAUCUGAGUUGUAAUCUGUAGAGGAGUAUUCAAGUAUUACUAUAACUUAAGUUUUCUGGAACGAAGCAUCAUAGAAGGUGAGAAUCCUGUCUAUAGUAAUAGUUUUAUACUUAUAUGAAUCUCCUUCAAUGAGUCGAGUUGUUUGGGAAUGCAGCUCUAAAUUGGUGGUAAAUUCCAUCUAAAGCUAAAUACUAGCAAGAGACCGAUAGUGUACAAGUAGAGUGAUCGAAAGAUGAAAAGAACUCUGAACAGAGAGUUAAAUAGUACGUGAAAUUGUUGAAAGGGAAGCACUUGCAACUAGAUAUAUAUAUAGCUAAUCAGUUAUCAUUUAUUGGUAAUGCACUUAGCCAUAUAUAAGUUAGUAUGAGUUAUUGACAGCAAGAAAAAAAUUAAUGGAAUGUGGCUCCCCUUGGGGAGUGUUAUAGCCAUUAAUUUAAUAUUGUUAGUUAUGAUUGAGGGCUGCACUUUUGUGAGGAUACUGACAUAAUGGUUGUAAGUGACCCGUCUUGAAACACGGACCAAGGAGUCUAACAUCUAUGCGAGUAUUUGGAUUAUUGUAAUCCUUGUGCGGAAUGAAAGUGAAUGGAGGUGGGAACUAUUAAGUGCACCAUCGACCAAUCCUGAUGUUUUCGGAUGGAUUUGAGUAGGAGCAUAGCUGUUGGGACCCGAAAGAUGGUGAACUAUGCCUGAAUAGGGUGAAGCCAGAGGAAACUCUGGUGGAGGCUCGCAGCGGUUCUGACGUGCAAAUCGAUCGUCAAAUUUGGGUAUAGGGGCGAAAGACUAAUCGAACCAUCUAGUAGCUGGUUCCGGC
rnacentral:misc_RNA from 2 species